rnacentral:rRNA from 1 species
AGAGACAGCAGUCGCCGCGGGAAUACGUAGGUCCCGAGCGUUGUCCAGAUUUAUUGGGCGUAAAGCGAGCGCAGGCGGUUAGAUAAGUCUGAAGUUAAAGGCUGUGGCUUAACCAUAGUACGCUUUGGAAACUGUUUAACUUGAGCGCAAGAGGGGAGAGUGGAAUUCCAUGUGUAGCGGUGAAAUGCGUAGAUAUAUGGAGGAACACCGGUGGCGAAAGCGGCUCUCUGGCUUGUAACUGGCGCUGAGGCUCGAAAGCGUGGGGAGCAAACAGGAUUAGAGACCCCUGUAGUCCCUGUCUCUUAUACA